UAGUAGCGAAGGUCAUGAUCUCAGACUGCCAAGAAAAGCCUCUAGCCAGGAGAAGGUGCCCGUACCGCAAACCGACACAGGUAGGCGAGAAGAGAAUUCUAAGGCGCGCGGAAGAACUCUCGUUAAGGAACUCGGCAAAAUGACCCCGUAACUUCGGGAGAAGGGGUGCCUCGGUAGGGUGAAUAGCCCGAGGGGGCCGCAGUGAAAAGGCCCAAGCGACUGUUUAGCAAAAACACAGGUCUGUGCGAAGCCGCAAGGCGAAGUAUACGGGCUGACGCCUGCCCGGUGCUGGAAGGUUAAGGGGAGUGGUAAGCUCGCAAGAGCGAAGCUAUGAACCGAAGCCCCAGUAAACGGCGGCCGUAACUAUAACGGUCCUAAGGUAGCGAAAUUCCUUGUCAGGUAAAUUCUGACCCGCACGAAUGGCGUAACGACUUGGGCGCUGUCUCAACGAGAGAUCCGGUGAAAUUUUAAUACCUGUGAAGAUGCAGGUUACCCGCGACAAGACGGAAAGACCCCAUGGAGCUUUACUGCAGCUUGAUAUUGAAUUUGGGUACGAUCUGUACAGGAUAGGUGGGAGCCGUUGAAUCUUGAGCGCCAGCUUGAGAGGAGGCAUCCUUGGGAUACCACCCUGAUCGUAUCUAGGUUCUAACUUGGUACCGUGACCCGGUGCGAGGACAGUGUCAGGUGGGCAGUUUGACUGGGGCGGUCGCCUCCUAAAGAGUAACGGAGGCGCCCCAAGGUUCCCUCAGAAUGGUUGGAAAUCAUUCGAAGAGUGCAAAGGCAGAAGGGAGCUUGA
rnacentral:rRNA from 1 species